UAGUCAAAUACAUGUGCGAAGCGUGGCAGCUAUGACGUUACCGCUCUUCAGGCGCCAGAAGCACGGCAAAAGCAUGGUCUUUGAUAUCCUGGCUCUUGGUAU
rnacentral:lncRNA from 1 species